GAUGAACGCUGGCGGCGUGCCUAAUACAUGCAAGUCGAGCGAACAGACGAUGAGCUUGCUCCUCUGACGUUAGCGGCUGACGGGUGAGUAACACGUGGAUAACCUACCUAUAAGACUUGGAUAACUUCGUGAAACCGGAUCUAAUACCGGAUAAUAUAUUGAACCGCAUGGUUCAAUAGUGAAAGACGGUUUUGCUGUCACUUAUAGAUGGAUCCGCGCCGCAUUAGCUAGUUGGUAAGGUAACGGCUUACCAAGGCAACGAUGCGUAGCCGACCUGAGAGGGUGAUCGGCCACACUGGAACUGAGACACGGUCCAGACUCCUACGGGAGGCAGCAGUAGGGAAUAUUCCGCAAUGGGCGCAAGCCUGACGGAGCAACGCCGCGUGAGUGAUGAAGGUCUUCGGAUCGUAAAACUCUGUUAUUAGGGAAGAAAAAAUGUGUAAGUAACUAUGCACGUCUUGACGGUACCUAAACAGAAAGCCACGGCUAACUACGUG
rnacentral:rRNA from 1 species